rnacentral:rRNA from 1 species
UACGUAGGGGGCAAGCGUUGUCCGGAAUCAUUGGGCGUAAAGAGCGUGUAGGCGGCCCGAUAAGUCCGCUGUGAAAGUCCAGGGCUCAACCCUGGAAUGCCGGUGGAUACUGUCGGGCUCGAGUUCGGAAGAGGUGAGUGGAAUUCCUGGUGUAGCGGUGAAAUGCGCAGAUAUCAGGAGGAACACCAAUGGCGAAGGCAGCUCACUGGGACGGUAUUGACGCUGAGACGCGAAAGCGUGGGGAGCGAACAGG